ensembl:lncRNA
CGUAAAGAUGCCAGGAUAUUAAAGACUUUGACUCGUGUUUAUUAACUUAAAUUUUUUAUUUUUGAAUAGACAAGCAAGGAGAGGGCACGGAUUCGGAUUUGACCAUUUGCGAUGUCCUCUAACAACGCUAACGCAGCCAUUUUUAAAACAAUUUUCUUCAUCCAUUGCGCAUGCUUUUAUAGCCACCCAUAUAAUUGCAAGGCGUGUUAAUUGUUCAUUAGUGUGUCUCUGAUGUGCAAAUCACUCUGAGUCAUUGUUUUCACCUUUUUUCCCAGUUUCCCAGCGUCACCUCUAAGUGUCGCCAAAGGAACAAUAGCUGUAGAAACGUGCGUACGACAGCUCUGGAGCUGGCGUGGGGACCGCACAUUUUUACGGUCAUUUCACGUUUUGUACAUCUGAACGUGAGCGUGGAAAAGGACGUACGCCACGUUUUUGUGCGUACGCAACCUUAGUACAUGAGGCCCCUGGGGCCUCAAAAUUGUACUUAAGUACUGUACUCAAGUAAAUGUACUCCGUUACUGUCCGGCUCUGCAUAUAACCCUCUUUAACAACGUACUGCAUUGUUAUUUUUUUCUAUGUGUAAUGGAAGGCUGGCCUAAGGUGGUGUAAGUAAACAGUUUAGAUGGCUUUCUGCAUCUGAAAGGAUAUUUUCUGGAGAGCUGCGACUCCUCAUCUCCGUCUGCUUCAUCAGAUGAUGCUGCUGGAUGAACGCCUGCCGUCUCUGCUGCCAUGGCGCCGUCAUCUGCUUCAUCUGCUUCAUCGGCCGCCAUCGUUGCGGUGACCUCUCCAUCAGAUGCUGGCGUGUGGUCGUCUGCUUCAUCCGAUGAUACUGCAGCUGCUCCCGUCUCCUCCACCAUUCCGCAGCCAUCUGCCUCCUGCUCUUCCUCUUUACGACCGGAAUUUACCAGGGCCUCCUCUCUCUGGCAAGUUGCGAUCCAACACCCUGCAGCCCUGUUGGAGCUCACCUCCGUACGUCUUUUUGUCAUAAUAUUUUUUUGCUCUGGCCUGUCCUUUCUGGUCCUCCUUUGAGGCUAGUUGGUAUGCCUCAGCCAUGCGCUUCCUCCAUCUUUCCGCAUACUCGCUGUGAGAACGACUCUCCUCCUCAUUAGGCUUCAGGCCAAACAUGAUGUCUACUUGGAAGCUGUGGACUCCUACCAAAGAGAAGGUAAUAGGGGGAGAAGCCGGUUGCUUCAUUCCGAGUACAAUUGUACGCAUGCACCACUUUGUUCAAAGAACUUUUUCAGUCACUCUUAACUUCUUCUGGCAGAGAUCUCAGCAUGGAAAUAAGGGUUCGGUUAAAUCUCUCCACCUGACCAUUUCCAGCUGGGUGAUAUGGUGUUGUGUGUGAGCCUUGAAUGCCGCAAUAUUCUUUGAGUUUGUAGAACAGCUUGUUCUCAAAUUCUCUGCCUUGAUCGUGCUGAGGCUUGGCGGGAAAGCCAAAUUUCAGCACAAAAUCAGCAAAAAAAACAAAACACUUUUUCAGCUGCAGUCUUGGCAGAUUUGUUGGUGCAUGCGUACGCCCAGGGCUGGACUGGGACCAAAAAAUGGCCCUGGCAUUUUUGGCCAUGGCAGCCCACUAUGAUUAUUUAUACGACAUGCGGAGGCACACAACAUACCAGAGGAUAUAUCCGCAUAUUGUGCUGUUUCAACAAUUAAAAUUAAGCGCAGUAGCCUACAUGGAAGAGAGUAACCAUGUUAAAAAUUGAUACGCUCUUUCACUAUACUUGCAGAGACUUUUGCAGCUAGGUCAAAUCCCCUCUGAAAUGACUAAUGCUUACAAUAUGUACAGUUUGAACCGUCUCACAAUCAGCAAAAAAUGCAAGAACACAGAACAGGAAGAAUACAAAAUAUAUGUAUUAUUUUAUUAAGGCCUACACUAACUAAAACACAACAAAUUAUAGCACAGUAAGUCAAAGUGGCACCCUAAAGUAUGAGAGAGAGAGAGAGAGAGAGAGAGAGAGAGAGAGAGAGAGAGAGAGAGAGAGAGAGAGAGAGAGAGAGAGAGAGAGAGAGAGAGAGAGAGAGAGAG